GAAAUAUAAGUCGUUACUAAUGAGUACUUCUUCCCCCUCCAGGCCCUCCUGAUCAGCACAGGGACCUAGUGUCUCAGAUGAGGCAGGUGAGAGGCCCUUUGGCCUCCACCUAUCCCUUUGACUCCAUGGCGGUGUUGCCUCCUUUGGUUUCUCAGACACUGCAUCGAGUUUUCCAGGGCUUCUGGCUAUCAGUGGCGGUCACCACGGCUUUUGCUUUGUCACUCCGAGCGUGCUGUAUUGCUGUCCUCACUUUACAGACGAAAGGCGGGUGUGACUUAUUGUGGGCUCAUCUUACUUUGGUAGGGGGCUCCAGCUCAUGUUCUGAGAGUGUUCUACUUCAAACAGGAGGUCCGAGCAGCUCCCCGGUCUGUGGUUUUCACUACAGACGGCUUGGCUAGAUCUCUGACUUCACACAGAGUUAACCCAGCCAGUGGGAUUAUUCCGUGGACUUCUUAGUGGGAGUGGUCCUCUAUCAUUGCCUCGGUUCAGCCAUGGCUCCAUCCUGGAUCGGUGGUCUUCUUUUUUCAUCAGAACUUCCUGUGUUUUUCACCCAUAUUACUGCUUCCCAGCGACCACCAUGCUGAGCACAUCCCCAAUUCCCACAAUUUCCUUUCAGGUCUGUCUGGGAUCGAAUGUGUGGAGAGUUAUAUUCAACUCAGCAGUGAAGAGAGUGGCGUGGGAAAGUCCAACAGUCUUUUAGGAUUGCUGUAUUCUAGGGAGAGGAAGCCAGAAGCAUACAGUCCUGCUGCGGGGAUUUUGUUUCAUGGUGAAUUACCAAUAAGAGAGAUAAGACUUGCUCACAAUAUAUGGAAAUUUAUACCCCGGGCUGUGAUGGCCUGUUUAGAAGGAAUCUGGUUGACUGUCUGAAUACAUAUUUAUGUAGUUUUGAAAUACACAUGAUUAUGCAAAUACGUAUUUGGUGGAUUUUACAGUGACCUCAAAAACCAUACGGCCCCUUGCACUCGUCACGGCCUAGUUUCUCUAAUGUAUAUUUGAAGUGCUAAGGAGGCUUGAUAUGAUUUUUAAACACUCCAGAAAUAUAGAGAAACUCUUGUCAGUAGUUAAGGACUUUCAAGUCGGAUCUCUGGGAAUAAAGACAAGAGCUUCUGUGGAAGAAAACUUUUGCCUUCUCACGAUUUCAUGAGCACUUGGAUCAUUUCCAAAUCCCUCGAGCAUGUUUCCAUUCUCCUGCCGUUUGUUGAGGCCUAGAGCUAUUUUACCACUAACCCAGAGGCUGAAGUUUUCCACGGCUACAAUUGUACAUUUCCAGACAUUAGGAGAACCCUUCGGGAAUGUGGAUGUCUGUCCGGAGACAUCUGCGGCCCUCCUCCUUUCUGUCGUUCUGCAGGCCAGGGGGGCUCCUGUCCAAUGAUCCUCUUUAUGCACUAGUUUUCCUGCUUUUCCUCUGGGUCUGCUCCUUAACGCCUCUGUUAGAAUCACGGUCCACGUUAACCUUUGUCUGACUGUACCGCUAGACGUGCUCAGGAAGUCCACCCUGGUUAAGGAAUUGGUGGGCUUUGUCUCUCUUCUCCAGAUCUCCAGUGUCAUCCCUUUAGCAUAGUAAGUACCCAUUGAAGACUUGUUGGGCUGGAUUGCGUGGACUAGAUUUGGAGGCUACUGUGCAGCUGAUUCAGGAAGGUCUGGAUGCUACAUGGCAGUGCACGGAUUUCCAGUGUCUUUGUGCAGCCUUUAAGGAAGCUGGUUGUUUCAGACGAAUAGGAACCGUGCUUGAUUUUAUAAGGCAGAAGCACUGGAUGAAGAACCAGAAACCUCAGAUGGCUAAGGGCCCCUGGUACUUCCCGUGACGCAUGAGCCGGUGAAUCAACAAACUGAUAGCUUUCAUUAUGUGCCUCUAUCGGCCAAGCCCUGGGCCAAGGGCUCAAUCCAAAGAAAGACAAAGCGCUAUCCCUGCUCUCAAGGAGGUCACAGUUAAGUACACCAUGCUCAUCUCUGCAUACAGAGAAGAUAUAUUCAGUGUGAAUGUGAUGGAGUCAACAGAGGGGAGGCACUAUCAUGAAGAGGGGUGGGAGAGGCUCCUCGAGGAAGAUCUGGAUUUAAUUUGAAAGCAGAGAGGCGAUGGAGAUAUCUUGUGUGAGGAGCAUCAAGGAGACCAGUGUCACCGGAUAGCAGAGUACGUGGAGGGAGUACAUGGCUUGAGGGCAACAGGCAGUCUACAGUUCAGCUCAAUUCAACACUGAUGAAUUGUCUCCUACAUCGAGAGAAGUAUGAGAGUUCUGGAAAGACAAGACAAAAAUAAAAGCCUUAUUUCUCCACCUGGGUGUAUGUACUUCACUGGAUUUCCCCAUUAUGCUCCAGGAACCUCAUCAUCCUGUAAGAUCACUUCAGCUCUAGAACUCUCACCUUAUCAGGCAUGAAUAAAUAGAGCUUACACGUGCGACAAAGAUAAGACGGGCGCUGUCUGCGUAUUUUAUCCCUACUGGAGAAAACCUCAGAUUUUCUUUUUCUUCAUCCUGCUGGGAAAUGUUCUGAUUCCUUUGAUGCCUCGUAUGUACUAGCAUGAGCCAUGCUAGUCAAUGUUGGUACAGACACAAACAAGCAAUGAUGCUUGACCUCAAGAAGCUUAUAUUUCAAUGAGGAAACAGAGCACAUUAAAAGAAAAAGCAUGGAGGUGGGAGGGCCUUCAUGGAGGCAUGAGAUAAAGAUGACCUGGUUAUAAGACAGAUGCCUGAAUCUAGGCAACUUGAAGUGAAAUCAUUCCAGAUAGCUCCACGUGGCUACAGAGGCAGAGCUCAAAGGAAGAAGGGAGAUAAUAUCUACAGAAGGGAAGACAUCAUAGGAAUUUCUAGAAAUUGGAUAAACAAGUGGGAAAAAUUAGAAUAGUCUCAUUAAAUAAAGAUAAAGUGAUGUGUGCUUAACUGCUAAAGAGGAGUUUGUCAAAAUGGUAUGUCAUUUUAGAGUGUGAAUAUUUCCUUUUUCUUUCCGAUAGCAUGAUAUUUGAUAUGACUGUAAUUAAUCUAUUUCUGAUUUAAGUAAACAGUUCCCUUUCAUGUGUUUUAAUCCAUUGAACUUCUCCUGGGGUUCUCAUCAUCUCUAUUUCUCUCUGAACCAUUUCCUUAAUUACCACACCCCUGCCACUGGACUGGGCAAGGUCUUUAUAAUCUAUCUGGUGCUAUAACAAGGAGCUCCUUGAUGUAUUUCAAUAAUGAUGCACAAAGCAACGUCUUCUUAAUUAAAGAAGAAUUUUCAUUUUGAUGCUAUUGAAGGUGCCAUUAAAGUGAAUGGUUGAAAGAUGAAUCUGCCCUCCUGAUCUCAUGAAAGGACUCUUGGGCUGGAGUGCCGAUGAAAUAACAUAGCCAAAGGUGGUUUCAAUAGAAUGCUACUAGAAUUUUAAAAGAAUAGUUUAUUUCAUUUCAUUUUACUUUAUCAUCUAUCAUUUAUCUACCCAAAUUAUUCUAUUUAUCUAGAGUCUUCUAUUUAUCUAUCUUUAGUCUACCUUAAAGAAGAAAAAGCAUUGGCCUGCAAACAGCCAGGAGAGCAAAGGACUGUGGUAUCUGAUCUUGACUGUCAUGGUAUCUGAGGCUCCCAAGGCUUAUUUCUGUUAUCAGUCAGUUCUGACAUAAAAAGAAUCAAAAGUUCAUUUUUGUUAUUUUUUGAUGUUCUAGCAUGUGGUCAAGUUUAUGAAGGUGUCGUGAACCUCUGAGAAAUCCCACAGCAACCAUUUUAUAUUCCUCUUAAGCAAAUCCUUAAUUCCUUUCUUUAUUCUUUUGUUAGUUUUACCUAGUUUGGAAAGGGGCACAUUGAGUUCCUCAGCUAUUACCGUUUUGCUCUUUAAUCCUCUGUGUAACUUGGUAAACAUUUCUUUCAAGGAACCUAGAUGCUUUGGAGUUCAUUUCCUGUGCAUUAAUUAAGGUCAUGUCAUUAUCUAUGAUUUCUUUAAGCAUAAUAGGAUUUUCCUUAUAUGUUACCUGUGUCUAUAUUUACUAUUGCCUCCUUUGAGAGUAGAAUUGCAACCCACUCCCACUUUUUUUGUAUUGGCCUAAAGCAUAAUGAGUCUUACUCUAUAUUCUCAUUUUAAUUCUGUGAAUCUUUGUUUCAUGUAUGUUUCUUGUAGAUAACAUGUUGCGUUUUGCUCCCUGAUUCACCCAAUCACCCAUCUCUCAUCCUGGGGUCCCCUCAGUCUGAUAGAGUGUCUGUCUUCUCAUGUUGCCUGGAAUCAAGCCUCCACACCAUUUCUCAGAUGUCUCCUCAUCACUGUCAUCUUCAUCUUUCAUAUAGAUCAACCUUAGAUGGGGUCUCUGGUCAGCAAGCUCUGAUAGAUGCAUUUUUUCCUUACCUUGACUGGGUCCAGGCCUUCAUUCUACCAGAGAACUCUAGAUCACGGAACUAGACCUGAUCCUCCACCCUACUGAAUCUCCUCUAGGAUGUGUCUUGCCCCUUCACAUAUUAGCCUUUUAAAGUUAAGGAACAUCUUCCUUUCUUGUGUUCAGAGUUCCAGCCCUUGGUACAGUGCCUGCCACAUAGUAAGCAAUGAAUACAAGUUUAAUAUAUCUCCAUUUAUCAUAUUUUAAACAAUAGAUUUUAUGGAUAGUUUGUUUGCACAUUAUCUAGAUUUCUCCUUUUAUCAUCCAGAGAUAUACACACCUUUUUAACAUCACAGAAUUUGCUCUGGUUGCUAAAGGAUUAAAAAAUAAGGGGAAAGAAAACACUUCUAUUGUACAAAACGGGGAAUUUGGGGGUCAAAGGACAAAUAAAUUGGAGUGACUUUAUUUGCGUGCUUGAAGAUUCCUCAUAAAACACACAUUCAGAAAAAGGUUUUACAGCUCCAUCACAAUGCAUAGUAUGUCAACCAUUCCACAAUUCCUCCAACUUCUGUUCUCUUUUUGGAAAAUUUGCUGGGAAUGUGGCCAAAAUCAGUGCUGUUUGGGCCUUUGUUAUUGUUAUUAUUGAGGAUUUAGAGCCCUUCAUAGAGUUAUUAAUCAUCUGCAAUUCUUCUUGAAUAGCCUCCAUGAUCUUUUACCACAUUUCUAGUGAGGAAUAGAUUUUAAGCUUCUGUGGUCCUGUGAAUUGCUAUAUAUGUUGGAUGCCAAACAUUGCAAAAAUUUGAGCCAGCCCUCUCCCUACAGCUCAUACACAUUCAUUUUUGUGCUACACAUAAUAAUUUUGUUUGUUCAAAAACAUCAACUUCCAGAAUUAUCUGUUUUAGUUGCCUCUAUGCUUUACUUGUUGUUAUUUAUUCAUUUUUCAGUUGUGUCUGACUUUUCAUCACUCCUUAUGGAGUUUUCUUUGUAAAGAUACUGAAGUGCUUUUCCAUUUUCUU